rnacentral:rRNA from 1 species
UAAUACGAAGGUGGCAAGCGUUGUUCGGAUUCACUGGGCGUACAGGGAGCGUAGGCGGUUAGGUAAGCCCUCCGUGAAAUCUCCGGGCCUAACCCGGAAAGUGCAGAGGGGACUGCUUGGCUAGAGGAUGGGAGAGGAGCGCGGAAUUCCCGGUGUAGCGGUGAAAUGCGUAGAGAUCGGGAGGAAGGCCGGUGGCGAAGGCGGCGCUCUGGAACAUUUCUGACGCUGAGGCUCGAAAGCGUGGGGAGCAAACAGGAUUAGAUACCCUGGUAGUCCACGCCUUAAACUAUGGAUACUAAGUGUCGGCGGGUUACCGCCGGUGCCGCAGCUAACGCAGUAAGUAUCCCGCCUGGGAAGUACGGCCGCAAGGUUGAAACUCAAAUGAAUUGACGG